GAUGAACGCUAGCGGCAGGCUUAAUACAUGCAAGUCGAGGGACAGCACAGGUAGCAAUACUGGGUGGUAACCGGCAAACGGGUGCGGAACACGUACACAACCUUCCUUUAAGUGGGGGAUAGCCCAGAGAAAUUUGGAUUAAUACCCCGUAAUAUAGUUGAAUGGCAUCAUUUGAUUAUUAUAGCUACGGCGCUUAAUGAUGGGUGUGCGGCUGAUUAGAUAGUUGGCGGGGUAACGGCCCACCAAGUCUACGAUCAGUAGCUGAUGUGAGAGCAUGAUCAGCCACAAGGGAACUGAGACACGGGCCCGACUCCUACGGGAGGCAGCAGUAAGGAAUAUUGGUCAAUGGACGCAAGUCUGGACCAGCCAUGCCGCGUGAAGGAUUAAGGUCCUCUGGAUUGUAAACUUCUUUUAUUUGGGACGAAAAAGGGCCUUUCUAGGUCAACUGACGGUACCAGAUGAAUAAGCACCGGCUAACUCCGUGCCAGCAGCCGCAGUAACAC
rnacentral:rRNA from 1 species